GCCCAGCUUGAGCCUGAUCGUUAACCUUGGGGUUGAUUGGUUUCCAUCAAUGGAAACUGGUUUUGCCUCAGAGCCAGAGGAAUUUGAAAGAUCAGAGAUGGAGGGUUCCAUGGAAUCAGAGAAGGGAAGAUAAGAAAGACCAAGAAUUAGAGGGAGAAAGAGGAAGAGGUACGCAAUGAACGAGGAGGAGGAGGAGGUGGAGAAGGGAAAACAAGACUUAAAAUGAGAGAGAAACAGAGGGAAAUGAGAGAGAGGUUGUUUC
rnacentral:lncRNA from 1 species